AAUGAACGCUGGCGGCAGGCCUAACACAUGCAAGUCGAGCGGAUGACGGGAGCUUGCUCCUUGAUUCAGCGGCGGACGGGUGAGUAAUGCCUAGGAAUCUGCCUGGUAGUGGGGGACAACGUUUCGAAAGGAACGCUAAUACCGCAUACGUCCUACGGGAGAAAGCAGGGGACCUUCGGGCCUUGCGCUAUCAGAUGAGCCUAGGUCGGAUUAGCUAGUUGGUGGGGUAAUGGCUCACCAAGGCGACGAUCCGUAACUGGUCUGAGAGGAUGAUCAGUCACACUGGAACUGAGACACGGUCCAGACUCCUACGGGAGGCAGCAGUGGGGAAUAUUGGACAAUGGGCGAAAGCCUGAUCCAGCCAUGCCGCGUGUGUGAAGAAGGUCUUCGGAUUGUAAAGCACUUUAAGUUGGGAGGAAGGGCAGUAAGCUAAUACCUUGCUGUUUUGACGUUACCGACAGAAUAAGCACCGGCUAACUCUGUGCCAGCAGCCGCCGUAACAC
rnacentral:rRNA from 1 species